rnacentral:rRNA from 1 species
UCUGAAUCUGCGUACGGCUCCGCAAACCAGUUGUAAACUAUAGCAAGCAGGCUCGGGGUCGGCUCUCACGGGUUGGCUUCGGGCGAUAUGGAUAACCCUGGUAAUUCUGAGGCUAAUACAUGAACGUAAAACCUGGUUGACUGGGCUUCGGUCUGGGAGGCUGGGGGAUGUGUGAUUGCAGGCUUGGGUAAUACCGGGAAAGGGCUCACGUCCAGACCGCGCUAUAAAGGAUGGGACCUCUUCGGGGGACCCGCCCCAGCGGCUCUUGCUGUGUGCUUCUGACCUAUCAACUAGACGGCAGCGUAAGGGACAUGCUAUGGU